rnacentral:rRNA from 1 species
AGACAGCCAGGAUGUUGGCUUAGAAGCAGCCAUCAUUUAAAGAAAGCGUAAUAGCUCACUGGUCGAGUCGGCCUGCGCGGAAGAUGUAACGGGGCUAAACCAUGCACCGAAGCUGCGGCAGCGACACGUAUGUGUUGUUGGGUAGGGGAGCGUUCUGUAAGCCUGCGAAGGUGUGCUGUGAGGCAUGCUGGAGGUAUCAGAAGUGCGAAUGCUGACAUAAGUAACGAUAAAGCGGGUGAAAAGCCCGCUCGCCGG